rnacentral:rRNA from 1 species
AUUGAACGCUGGCGGAAUGCUUUACACAUGCAAGUCGAACGGUAGAGGGGGCAACCCUUGAGAGUGGCGAACGGGUGAGUAAUAUAUCGGAACGUGCCCAGUCGUGGGGGAUAACGUAGCGAAAGUUACGCUAAUACCGCAUACGAUCUAAGGAUGAAAGCGGGGGACCGUAAGGCCUCGCGCGAUUGGAGCGGCCGAUAUCAGAUUAGGUAGUUGGUGGGGUAAAGGCUCACCAAGCCAACGAUCUGUAGCUGGUCUGAGAGGACGACCAGCCACACUGGAACUGAGACACGGUCCAGACUCCUACGGGAGGCAGCAGUGGGGAAUUUUGGACAAUGGACGCAAGUCUGAUCCAGCCAUUCCGCGUGCAGGAUGAAGGCCCUCGGGUUGUAAACUGCUUUUGUACGGAACGAAAAGGUCUCUCUUAAUACGGGGGGCUCAUGACGGUACCGUAAGAAUAAGCACCGGCUAACUACGUG